CCUGGAUCCACCCCUCCUUUUCCCCAUCUAAGGGUUAGCAGCUGAAGGAGUCAUUUCUUUUUGGAUUGAGAUUGUAUUCCUCUUGGGCUGUUACCAGUCAUCAGAAGAGAUAUCUGCCAUCCUUCACUGAGAACUUCAGCAACCCUCAUCUCUACACCUGUCAGAAGCAAGCCAGGUACCCAGCCUGGAUGAGAGCAUAACACGAGUUAAUUAUUGCUUUAAUUUAAGUGAAGUCCUAUGCUGAGAGCUGUUGUCAGUGGGAUUCCCUGGAUUUGGUAAGGUUGCUUUGAAAGUAGUGCCUCCUAUUUAUUUUCA